rnacentral:rRNA from 1 species
AGUGAACGCUGGCGGUAGGCCUAACACAUGCAAGUCGAACGGCAGCACAGUAAGAGCUUGCUCUUACGGGUGGCGAGUGGCGGACGGGUGAGGAAUACAUCGGAAUCUACUUUUUCGUGGGGGAUAACGUAGGGAAACUUACGCUAAUACCGCAUACGACCUACGGGUGAAAGCAGGGGAUCUUCGGACCUUGCGCGAUUGAAUGAGCCGAUGUCGGAUUAGCUAGUUGGCGGGGUAAAGGCCCACCAAGGCGACGAUCCGUAGCUGGUCUGAGAGGAUGAUAAGCCACACUGGAACUGAGACACGGUCCAGACUCCUACGGGAGGCAGCAGUGGGGAAUAUUGGACAAUGGGCGCAAGCCUGAUCCAGCCAUACCGCGUGGGUGAAGAAGGCCUUCGGGUUGUAAAGACCUUUUGUUGGGAAAGAAAAGCAGCAGGUUAAUACCCCGCUGUUCUGACGGUACCAAAAGAAUAAGCACCGGCUAACUUCGUG